CUGGGAUGCUGGGGGGUCGGGGGACUGGGAUGCUGGGGGUGCUAGGGGUGCUGGGGGGCAGGACGCGGUGAUUUGCAAGCGAAUGAGGUGGGAGGGAUGGGAGAGGAGGGCUUGGUCAAAGACCCCCAACGGGGGAGGACAACCCAGGGCUUUGGGGUCGGUGCAGCCGCUCGGCUCAUCCUUUUGCCCCUGGAGGCGGUCACCGCAGAGAGUAUGCACCACAUGCACACGCUGUGGCUCCAAGGAACCUGGGGUGCCGUCCCCGCAGGAUUCACCACUGCCCAUUUCAAUUCAGUACCAACAUUCCGACUGGAGGAAAAUGAAGAGACAGAGUCCAGAUCCCAUGCAGCCCUGGUCUGCCUGUUCCGUUAAAUGAAAGUGUAUAUUCUGGAAGUCUUUUUGCUAAUGCUGAGAUAAAGCACAUUACGUAAAGUGGGAAAAGAAACCAAACAAAAUGCUUUAUCAUAGUUUAAGGUAAAUAUUCACAAGUAAAACCUUUACAUCCCUACAGUUGAAUACAUUUCAUUUCCCGCUGAAACCCAACUGUAAGGAAAAAAAAAAAAAAAAACUACUUUGUGUAAAAUCUACAACCUUUUGAAGCAUUCUAUUAUUACCUGGUUGGAAGUUACUUUUACUACACCUAGAAAAAGAGCAGGGGAGAGUGUCACCACGUAAAAAAUGGUUAUUCUGUCAAGAAUGUUCCAGCCUCCUCUUCUCUGUCCUAGUGAUUAUGAAGCAUUUGAAAACAGGAGGCCUAAACCUUGGGAUUUUUGAAAAUCCUUUUAUAUCGUAUUUAUAACUACUUGUACGUUUUCAUAUAUAAGUAGAAUUCUGUAUCGUAUAAAGCAGGUUUUAAUUCUUAGAAUAAUGUUUACGAAUAUUUAGCCAACAGGUCUACCCAAAAAUAUUAAUCAUCCUUAUUAUUUACAGUGGCAGGAGCGUAUUUUCUCGUCUGGUGUAUUCAGACACCAAAGUCAUUAAUAGUGAAUGUAAAAUAUUAUCUGAACUGUUCUUCCUGAAAUUCUUUUAGCAUGAGUUAACUUUUCUUCAUCAUGUGGUACCGUGAAUGUGUGAGGGCAGGCAGCUAAAGAGACCAGCAAAGAGCCAGUCCUGGCCAGCUCUCCCAGGCCUGUCCCCGCAGCACUCCAAAGCGAUGCCAGGAUGACAGGAGAAGUGGCAUCAAACCAGACAGGCCCAGGAAACAGACUGGAAACCCNUCAGUCCUGGCCAGCUCUCGGGAACGUCCCAGGCCUGUCCCCGCAGCACUCCAAAGCGAUGCCACGGUGACAGGAGAAGUGGCAUCAAACCAGACAGGCCCAGGAAACAGACUGGAAACCCCUGACCAAACAAGGAAGCAAAAGUAUGGCACCCCUGCUUCCAAGGAAUCCUGAUCUCUAGUAAUGAAUAUUCAACCCCUUGUUCCCAACUAUGGAUAAAAGAAACCCGAAAAGCUAGUUUUCAGGUGUGCAGCUCUCUCUGUGUCUCUGUGUCUCUGUCUCUCUCAAGCUCACGUGCUCUCACGUCCGAAGAGUGUACUUUGGUUUUAAUAAACUUUCCUG
ensembl:lncRNA